rnacentral:tRNA from 1 species
GCCAGCAUGGCAUGGUGGUUUGAGUGUUGGACUAUGACUCUGGAGAACAGGGUUCAAAUCCCUGCUUGGGCA